AACGCGAAGAACCUUACCCCGCGCGGGUUGAAAUGCAGACGAAUAACGUGGAAACAUGUUAGCUAGCAAUAGCGUCUGUGUAGGUGCUGCAUGGUUGUCGUCACCACGUGCCAAAAGGUGUCGACUUAAGUGCCAUAACGAGCGCAACCCACAUUAUUAGUUACUAACAGGUCGAGCUGAGGACUCUAAUAAGACUGCCGGCGCAAGCUGUGAGGAAGGUGUGGAUGACGUCAAAUCAGCACGGCCCUUACGUCCGGGGCGACACACGUGUUACAAUGGGUGGUACAAAGGGCAGCUACUGUGCGGGCAGAUGCUAAUCUCCAAAGCCACUCCCAGUUUGGAUCGGAGUCUGCAACUCGACUCCGUGAAGCCAGAUUCGCUAGUAAUCGCGCAUCAGCCAUGGCGCGGUGAAUACGUCCCCGGGUCUUGUACACACCG
rnacentral:rRNA from 1 species